rnacentral:piRNA from 1 species
UGUAUCGCAGGUCCCAAAUUU